rnacentral:rRNA from 1 species
GACGAACGCUGGCGGCGUGCUUAACACAUGCAAGUCGAACGGAAAGGCCCCUUUGGGGGUCCUCGAGUGGCGAACGGGUGAGUAACACGUGAGUAACCUGCCCUUGACUUCGGGAUAACUUCAGGAAACUGGGGCUAAUACCGGAUAGGAAUCCUUGCUGCAUGGUGGGGGUUGGAAAGCUUCGGCGGUUUUGGAUGGACUCGCGGCUUAUCAGCUUGUUGGUGGGGUAGUGGCUUACCAAGGCUUUGACGGGUAGCCGGCCUGAGAGGGCGACCGGCCACAUUGGGACUGGGAUACGGCCCAGACUCCUACGGGAGGCAGCAGUGGGGAAUAUUGCACAAUGGGCGGAAGCCUGAUGCAGCAACGCCGCGGGCGGGAUGACGGCCUUCGGGUUGUAAACCGCUUUCAGCAGGGGCGAAGCUUGUGGUGACGGUACCUGCAGAAGAAGCACCGGCUAACUACGUG